GGCACCUUCGGUGUCCGAGUUGUAAUUUGAAGAAGGUAACUUUGGAGUUGGCUCUUGUCUAUGUUCCUUGGAACAGGACGUCACAGAGGGUGAGAAUCCCGUGCGAUGAGAUGUCCAACUCUAUGUAAAGUGCUUUCGAAGAGUCGAGUUGUUUGGGAAUGCAGCUCUAAGUGGGUGGUAAAUUCCAUCUAAAGCUAAAUAUUGGCGAGAGACCGAUAGCGAACAAGUACAGUGAUGGAAAGAUGAAAAGAACUUUGAAAAGAGAGUGAAAAAGUACGUGAAAUUGUUGAAAGGGAAGGGUUUGAGAUCAGACUUGGUAUUUUGUAUGUCUUGCUUUCGGGUGGGGCCUCUGCAGUUUACUGGGCCAGCAUCGGUUUGGACGGUAGGAUAAUGACAUUGGAAUGUGGCACUACUUCGGUGGUGUGUUAUAGACUUUGUUGAUACUGCCUGUCUAGACCGAGGACUGCGUCUUUGACUAGGAUGCUGGCAUAAUGAU
rnacentral:rRNA from 1 species